AUUUAUUCCCAUUUCAUCUUCUCUGACUUCUCAACCUCUCUCUCUCUCUCCCACCGUCAAGAACCUAUCUCUCCCACCGCUGCGAUGCCUGAUUCAAGAAGUUCAGGAAAAUUGACCGAUGUUGUUCUUGGAUUUGUCUUUGUGGAGCCCUAUGUUGGUUGCUCGUCUGUUUGGCUGUGUUCAAACAGGUGCUCAUGUCUGGAUGUUGUAAUCAGUGAGGCGUCGGUUGGUUGGUGGCGAGGGUUUUGGAUGCUCGGCGGCGGGUGCUGCAGUGAAAGCUUAGGUUUUUAUUUUGUUGUGUUGUAUGUAUUGGGCCUUUACAGUUUGUUGGAUCUUUUGGGCUGUUUGGCAGGUCCUCUUUUGGGCUAGUUUACCAACCAAAUAUAUAUAUAUAUAUAUAUAUA